UGAGAUUUAGGUUAAUAAAACCAACUACCUUCAAAGUAGUAAAUAAGUAAAACUUAAACUUAA
rnacentral:tRNA from 1 species